UAGCUUGGUACCUGACUCAGCGGCGGACGGGUGAGUAAUGCUUAGGAAUCUGCCUAUUAGUGGGGGACAACAUCUCGAAAGGGAUGCUAAUACCGCAUACGUCCUACGGGAGAAAGCAGGGGAUCUUCGGACCUUGCGCUAAUAGAUGAGCCUAAGUCGGAUUAGCUAGUUGGUGGGGUAAAGGCCUACCAAGGCGACGAUCUGUAGCGGGUCUGAGAGGAUGAUCCGCCACACUGGGACUGAGACACGGCCCAGACUCCUACGGGAGGCAGCAGUGGGGAAUAUUGGACAAUGGGGGGAACCCUGAUCCAGCCAUGCCGCGUGUGUGAAGAAGGCCUUUUGGUUGUAAAGCACUUUAAGCGAGGAGGAGGCUACUUAGAUUAAUACUCUAGGAUAGUGGACGUUACUCGCAGAAUAAGCACCGGCUAACUCUGUGCCAGCAGCCGCGGUAAUACAGAGGGUGCAAGCGUUAAUCGGAUUUACUGGGCGUAAAGCGCGCGUAGGUGGCCAAUUAAGUCAAAUGUGAAAUCCCCGAGCUUAACUUGGGAAUUGCAUUCGAUACUGGUUGGCUAGAGUAUGGGAGAGGAUGGUAGAAUUCCAGGUGUAGCGGUGAAAUGCGUAGAGAUCUGGAGGAAUACCGAUGGCGAAGGCAGCCAUCUGGCCUAAUAC
rnacentral:rRNA from 1 species